rnacentral:rRNA from 1 species
GGUUCAGAACGAACGCUGGCGGCGUGCUUAACACAUGCAAGUCGAACGCGAAAGGGACUUCGGUCCUGAGUAAAGUGGCGCACGGGUGAGUAACGCGUAGAUAACCUGUCUUCAUGUCUGGAAUAAUACGCCGAAAGGGGUACUAAUACCGGAUAUUCUUGCUUUUCAUAAGUUAUGCAAGCAAAGGUGGCCUCUGCAUAUGCUACUGCAUGAAGAGGGGUCUGCGUACCAUUAGCUAGUAGGUGGGGUAAUGGCCUACCUAGGCGACGAUGGUUAGCGGGUCUGAGAGGAUGAUCCGCCACACUGGCACUGGAACACGGGCCAGACUCCUACGGGAGGCAGCAGUGAGGAAUAUUGCGCAAUGGGGGAAACCCUGACGCAGCGACGCCGCGUGAGUGAAGGAAGGCCUUCGGGUCGUAAAGCUCUGUCAAGAGGAAAGAAGUGUACAAUGGCUAAUACCUGUUGUAUUUGACGGUACCUCUAAAGGAAGCACCGGCUAACUCCGUGCCAGCAGCCGC